GGUCUAAUAGUGUAGAGGUUAGCACAUGGGAUUUUGAUAUUACUUUCCCAUAACCCAGGUUCGAGUCCUGGUUAGACCU
rnacentral:tRNA from 1 species